AAAGGACACGGCGGAGCAGAGAGAGAUGCUCGGCCGCUCCUCCUCCUCCGGGUCCAGGACUUGCUUCUUAUUUGCUGGACGCUGAUCUCCCUGCAGCCCUCGGAGGCGGCGGCCGCGCUGCUUUCAUUUCGGGGCUGUCAUCACCAGAAACGCCGGCUGCCGGCCGCCCACCAGCUCGGCUCCAGCCAGGCAGUGGUCUCUACAAGGAUGUCUGACCUAGAGUGGAGAUGGGGUGACUGAGGAUGGAAAUCUAGUCUGAACUCCACUCUCCAAUUUGGCAGAAGACCUGUGUCUUACUCAGCUUUGUGUUCCUUACAUCUCUGUAGCACACACUCCCCUGCGAAGGGGUUUUAUAAGGAACCCAGAGCCAAGACAAAGGAAUCAGGAGGAAUUCUAGCACAAUGGGAAGCCCCUGAAGGGUUUAAGCAGAAGACAAUAAAAGACUCCGAGAAGUGGCAGCAGGGAGUGGAGGAAAAAAAGCCUGGAAUUUACCCUGCUUUCUGCUCUGCACAUGGAAUGCCCCCUCCAUGUGUCCAUUGUCAUCCAAGGUGUUUUGACAGGUCUAGAGUGGGGUAAAAGAAUGGUAUUUAUUCAGGCCUAAUAUUGAGGCUUGGGGCUGGGCUGUAUAUCAGAGGGCAUGCAUAGACAAAGCUGAACAAAGGGGCACACCUACUGGGCACCUGCUGGGCACUUCUCUAAAAGUGGCACUGAGACAUCAUUAGGAUGAAUUAGAACUAGGGCACCAGUUAACCCGGGCCUGCAUGCUAGUGAAAGGAAAAUUGCGCCUCUCCCUCAACCCUGCUCCAGACAACUGAAUGGUGACUUCAAGAACAAAUAUUCAGGCUGGGUGCGGUGGCUCACACCUGUAAUCCCAACACUUUUGGAGGCUGAGGUGAGUGGAUCACCUGAGGUCAGGAGUUCGAGACUAGCCUGGCCAACAUGGUGAAACCCUGUUUCUACUAAAGAUACAAAAAUUAGCUGGGCGUGGUGGUGGGUGCCAGUAAUCUCAGCUAGGAGGCUGAGGCAGGAGAAUCGCUUGAGCCUGGGAGGCAGAGGUUGUUGAGAUGGUGCCAUUGCACUUCAGCCUGGACGACAAGAGCAUAACUCUGUCUCAA
ensembl:lncRNA FRY-AS1 FRY antisense RNA 1